GUCCUCAUAGCUUAACACCAAA
rnacentral:tRNA from 1 species